ACGAACGCUGGCGGCGUGCUUAACACAUGCAAGUCGAACGGAAAGGCCUGCUUUCCCUUGUGGAUUGCGGGUACUCGAGUGGCGAACGGGUGAGUAACACGUGAGUGAUCUGCCCCCAACUUGGGUAUAAGCCUGGGAAACUGGGUCUAAUUCCCGAUAGGACUGCAGGGUGGUGCCUGUGGUGGAAAACGAUUUUCUAGUGGUUGGGGAUGAGCUCGCGGCCUAUCAGCUUGUUGGUGGGGUAAUGGCCUACCAAGGCGGCGACGGGUAGCCGGCCUGAGAGGGUGGACGGCCACAUUGGGACUGAGAUACGGCCCAGACUCCUACGGGAGGCAGCAGUGGGGAAUAUUGCACAAUGGGCGGAAGCCUGAUGCAGCGACGCCGCGUGGGGGAUGACGGCCUUCGGGUUGUAAACUCCUUUCGACCGCGAGGAAGCCACCUGGCUGGAAGGGUGGUGACGGUAGUGGUAGAAGAAGCACCGGCUAACUACGUG
rnacentral:rRNA from 1 species